rnacentral:rRNA from 1 species
UGGGGAAUAUUGGACAAUGGGCGCAAGCCUGAUCCAGCCAUGCCGCGUGAGUGAUGAAGGCCCUAGGGUUGUAAAGCUCUUUCACCGGUGAAGAUAAUGACGGUAACCGGAGAAGAAGCCCCGGCUAACUUCGUGCCAGCAGCCGCGGUAAUACGAAGGGGGCUAGCGUUGUUCGGAUUUACUGGGCGUAAAGCGCACGUAGGCGGACUAUUAAGUCAGGGGUGAAAUCCCGGGGCUCAACCCCGGAACUGCCUUUGAUACUGGUAGUCUUGAGUUCGAGAGAGGUGAGUGGAAUUCCGAGUGUAGAGGUGAAAUUCGAAGAUAUUCGGAGGAACACCAGUGGCGAAGGCGGCUCACUGGCUCGAUACUGACGCUGAGGUGCGAAAGCGUGGGGAGCAAACAGG